UACGAAGGGGGCUAGCGUUGCUCGGAAUCACUGGGCGUAAAGGGUGCGUAGGCGGGUCUUUUAAGUUAGGGGUGAAAUCCUGGAGCUCAACUCCAGAACUGCCUUUGAUACUGAGGAUCUUGAGUUCGGGAGAGGUGAGUGGAACUGCGAGUGUAGAGGUGAAAUUCGUAGAUAUUCGCAAGAACACCAGUGGCGAAGGCGGCUCACUGGCCCGAUACUGACGCUGAGGCACGAAAGCGUGGGGAGCAAACAGG
rnacentral:rRNA from 1 species